rnacentral:misc_RNA from 1 species
GUGAAUCAUCAAAUCUUUGAACGCAAAUUGCACUCUCUUCGGAGAGUAUGCCUGUUUGAGGGUCAGCCUAAAAAAAAUCGACAUCGUUGCUGUUUCGCGGUGGCGUUCGUCGGAAAUUGGGUUAUCUUAAAUCUUUGGUUUAAGCGACUUAAAAUUUUCUUUACGACUCCACGAACGUUUCCAAGAUUUAUUUCUUUACACGUUUAAGGUAUCGAUUUUAUUAGGCGUGGUCGUCAUAUCGAUUAUGGUCCAUAUUUUUUGUUUACUUAACUCAGGCC